rnacentral:lncRNA from 1 species
UUUCAGGUUCUUGGUAUUAUAGUUGGAUGAGGUAACGAUCAAUAACGAUAGUGGAUGAAAUGAUCACUCCACUUACUAUUGCUUAUUGUGAAGGAUCUUCCCAGAAAGUCGAUACUACUGAAGAAAAGAUCAGAUGCAAUUUCUAAAGCUCAACUAACGUAGGGUCCCUGUGCAUUCCGCGUUGAGUAAGAAGUCGCACCAUACUCGAAGUACUGUGGAUGCUGUCAAGCUUUAACUAACAUGGUGAGUGCAUAAAAAGCCAAACACAU